rnacentral:lncRNA from 1 species
AUGGAAGCACACAGUCUUACGCAUGUUACACACACAUGUGAGAGUGGGUUUCUGCACCGGCGUUUCUCUAGAGGAUGGACCAGGCCUCAGCUGUUUCUGAGGGAGAAGACUGUCCCACAGCCAGUCACCUGGGGCCUUGUUUCCAGAAGUGGAGUCCUGGAGUCAGCGCAUCUGCGAGCAGUGGGCGUCACAUCGUAUAACGUUAUGGUCAGUGUGGCCUAGAAGUGAGCUCCAGCACCCUGCCACCCUCCCAACACAGGACACUACACAUGUAACCAGAAAAUAAAAACAAGAAUGGCUCCUGUUUCUAGAUUAUCUAAAAGGAGGGAAUCUCUUAUUUCUAGAUUUAAAUUUAAACUUUUUUUUUUUUUUUUAGAGACAGGGUCUCGUUUUGUUACCCAAGCUGGAGUACAGUGACACCAUCAUAACUCACUGCAACCUUGAACUCCUGGGCUCAGGUGAUUCUCUCACCUCAGCCUCCCUAAUAGGACUGCAAGCACACGCCACCACACCUGGCUCAUUUUUAAACUUUUUUAUGGAGACAGGUUCUCCCUAUGUUGCCCAGGCUGGUCUUGAACUCCUGAACUCAAGUGAUCCUCCCACCUUGGCCUCCCAAAGCACUGGGAUUAUAGGCAUGAGCCACUGUCUAAAGGAGAGAAACCUUUGCAAUGUGAAUAGACUUCUCUAAAAGCACACUUGGCUUCCUCCCUCAAACUUACUUGAUUCUGAUGCUUUUUCCCACUCCAUAAACUCUUUUACAAAGUUGAAUUUACAUGUAUCAUUAAGAUACAUAAUUUCCACUGUUACAUCCUUCUUAGAGGUCACUUCCCCUUACCUACUGCUUGAUAUGACUUUUUUUGAGGGAGUGUGAUUAAGGACAUCACGGGACUAGACUGAGCUUUUUGAAAGCAGGGGCCGUUUCUCAGUCAUCUUGGGUAUCUACAGCACUUGUUGUGAGUGAAUGAAUGAAUGAGGAUGGAAUGAGU